AUUGAACGCUGGCGGCAUGCUUUACACAUGCAAGUCGAACGGUAACAGGCCGCAAGGUGCUGACGAGUGGCGAACGGGUGAGUAAUGCAUCGGAACGUGCCCAGUCGUGGGGGAUAACGCAGCGAAAGCUGCGCUAAUACCGCAUACGAUCUGUGGAUGAAAGCGGGGGACCGAAAGGCCUCGCGCGAUUGGAGCGGCCGAUGUCAGAUUAGGUAGUUGGUGGGGUAAAGGCCCACCAAGCCAACGAUCUGUAGCUGGUCUGAGAGGACGACCAGCAACACUGGGACGGAGACACGGCCCAGACUCCUACGGGAGGCAGCAGUGGGGAAUUUUGGACAAUGGGCGCAAGCCUGAUCCAGCAAUGCCGCGUGCAGGAAGAAGGCCUUCGGGUUGUAAACUGCUUUUGUACGGAACGAAACGGCUCUGGUUAAUACCUGGGGCUAAUGACGGUACCGUAAGAAUAAGCACCGGCUAACUACGUGCCAGCAGCCGCGGUAAGAC
rnacentral:rRNA from 1 species